rnacentral:misc_RNA from 1 species
UAAUUGGGAAAAAAAUAUUAAUGGCUACUUAAGAUCUCAAGUAGAAUCCUCUGCACAGAUCUUAAAUGAAGGCUCAAAAGUGGUGGAACUGGAUUCUAAAACAGUGUGUAGUGAAAAUUUUGAAGAAUUGUUCGAUAAUGCGUUUUUCGAAACAAUGGAAGUGCCCCUAGAAUCUAAGAAUGACGAUAAAAAUAUUCAAAAAGAAUCUUCAAUUGAAAAAAACAAUAUAUACAAUUUAGAGGAAUUCUUAGAUGAAGAAGAAGAGCCUUUAAAUCCUGGGGGCCAAGAAACUUUGCUUGACAAAUGUAACCUAGAAAAUAUCUGUUUUGCCCCAGGAGAAGGUAAAACGCCAAUACAUUUGAUGCUUGACCAGUUUAGCGAUGAACUCUCAUUUCCUACACUUUUCUGUGGACAUGCUAAGCAAUUUCUUACAAAAUUCUCCUAUUCUGACCAGACGAAAAUACAACUCCAGCACAAAGACAGGCGAUUUGCAAGGACAGACUAUCUGUUGUAUACAUUUAAAAAACGUCAACUAAUCCAAUUAUCCAGUGCAAUUGCAACAUGUCUCAGAAAAAAGAGGAAUGAGGAUGGAAAAUAUACAGCUGGACAAGUAAGACAAGCAAAUUUUCUAGACCAGCUGAUUCGAAGUGACAUGGGAUUCCAUUUUCUUAGUAGAAUUGCAGGUUCACCUGCUUAUUGGAAGCACGAAAAGACAAAAUUACUAUGUAUGAUUCGCCAAUUUGGAAUCCCCACACUGUUUUUUACCGUGUCAGCAGCCGAAACAGCAUGGCCCGAAUUAAUCAAGGUAUUAGCACAAGUUGUUGAUCAAAAAGAUGUUACUUUAGAAGAGGCCGCGAGUAUGCCCUACUUAGAAAAAACUCGCUUAAUUAGAACAGAUCCGAUAACUUGUGCCAGAUACUUUGAUUAUCGGUUCAAACUGCUAUUUAAACAUAUGAAGAGUCAAAAUGGACCCUUUAAACAAAAUCCCAUAGAGCAUCAUUAUUACCGCAUAGAAUUUCAACAUCGUGGGUCUCCUCAUGUUCACGGGUUAUUGUGGUUAUCCAAUGCUCCAAAAUUCCAAGAAACACCAGAAAGUUUCAAAGAGUGUGCCGAAUUCGCGAACAGGUAUAUUACCUGUAAUAGUGAUUUAGAAAGUGUCCGUGAUAUAAUUCAGUUUAAUACGCAUCAUCAUUCUAAAUCGUGUCAAAAAGAAGUGCGGGGACACAAAGUUUGCAGGUAUGGUAUCCCAUACCUUCCAAUGGAUAAAUCGGUAAUUCUAACGCCAAUAAAAAUUGACAAAACCAAGGAAGCGGAUUUACGUAAGGCCAUGUCUGAAAAGUUUUUAAUGAUAAUGCGUAGGCUUAAGGAUAAACCAGAUUUAUCAUUCGAAAACUUUUUGGCUGACCUUGGUAUGUCUAAGGAUGAGUAUCUUAAUGUUAUACAGCAUAACAUAUUUAAAACUACUUUAUUUUUAGAAAGGCUGCCAAAAGAUGGAUUUAUUAACAACUUUAAUGCUGAAAUGUUCUCCAUGAUGAAGAGCAACAUGGACAUUCAAUUAGUUUUUGAGCCAUAUGGUUGUUGCACCUACAUAGUCAACUAUAUCAAUAAGUCCCAAAGAGGUGUGUCUGAUAUUUUAAUGAAGACUAUGGAAGAAAUUAAAAAAGAAAUAAUGAGACAGAGUGAAGAUAAGUCUUUUGCAGUUGCCCUCAAUAAUAUGGCGUUUGGUAAAAUGACCGACGAAGAUGUGCAAUUGAUCAAGUCCAGGGAAGUCGACAGUAUUGACCAGAUUCCUGAAGACACUAUGCAUUUAUUUUGCACCAAUGCAGAAGUAGAUGCAUUCAAUGAAAUGAAACUGUCUACAUUUAAAACCGAGCGAGCCGUAAGUCAAGCCAGAGACGUUAUCAAAGGGAGUUGCUCAGAACGACUAAAAAAUUUAUUUCUGGAACACGCAAAAAGCUUAAAAAAGGGGGAGAGUUUUGGCCUAAUGUUAAAUUUAAUAUUGCAGGUAGAUGCCAAAUAUAUGAUUUCAAUGAAUGUGGACACCAGUGAUGGAAUAGUCAAUGGUGCAACAGGCAUCCUACGUCAAAUAGACUAUGACCGAAAUAAAAUUCCAUUCAGAGUGUGGAUGGAGUUCUUCGAUUCCAAGUCAGGCCAGGAAUGCCGCAAGAGAAACGAAUCCCUUAAGAAGUCUAUGGGUGUGUUAUACACCUGGACGCCCAUAGAAAAAGCUGCACGAGCUAUUAAAGUUCAAAAAGGCAGCAAUGUUCACGUUGAGCGUCUUCAGUUUCCUCUUGUAAUCAGUGAAGGAAUUACAAUCCACAAGAGUCAAGGUGCCACCUACAAACAGGUGGCUGUUCACGUUGGAAAUCGCAUGACGAGAACCAGUACCUAUGUUGCUUGUAGUCGGGCCACAAAGCUAAGUGGCCUCUACAUCAUUGGUAACUUUAAGGCCCCCAAACCGGUAACCGAAAAGGAUGCCGCUUAUAAAGAACUGGAAAUUAAGAUUGAUGACGAUAUUACUACUUUGGUACCGCUCUUUCCAGAAACGGACUCUCAACCUGUGGAGAAUAUAGAAAAAAUAACCUAACGACAAAAGUAUAUGCCCUAUGCCCGCCUCCUCAACCCAACCCAACCCAACUAAGCCCAACCCAACCCAACCCAACCCAACCCAACCCAACCCAACCUGUGGAGAAUAUAGAAAAAAUAACCUAACGAGAAAAGUAUAUGCCCUAUGCCCGCGUCCUCAACCCAAUCCAACCCAACUCAGCCGAACCCAACCCAACCCAACCCAACCCAACCCAACCCAACCCAACCCAACCCAACCCAACCCAACCCAACCUGUGGAGAAUAUAG